rfam:Schistosoma curassoni strain Dakar, Senegal genome assembly, scaffold: SCTD_contig0001250
AUCCAGCUGACGAGUCCCAAAUACGACGAAACGUGCCUCCUGUAU